ensembl:snRNA U2 U2 spliceosomal RNA
AUAGCUUCUGGGCCUUUUGGCUGAGAUCAAGUAUAGUAUCUGUUAGUUUAAUAAUAUUCACAACAGCAAGGGAUUUUAUUUGUUACGUAUUUUAAACUAAAGAUUCUGU